rnacentral:rRNA from 1 species
GAGUAAUAUAUCGGAACGUGCCCAGUCGUGGGGGAUAACGUAGCGAAAGCUACGCUAAUACCGCAUACGAUCCAUGGAUGAAAGCGGGGGAUCGCAAGACCUCGCGCGAUUGGAGCGGCCGAUAUCAGAUUAGGUUGUUGGUGGGGUAAAAGCUUACCAAGCCUGCGAUCUGUAGCUGGUCUGAGAGGACGACCAGCCACACUGGAACUGAGACACGGUCCAGACUCC